rnacentral:rRNA from 1 species
UACACACCGCCCGUCACACCAUGGGAGUGGGUUUCACCAGAAGCCGGUCGCCUAACCGCAAGGAGGGCGCCGACCACGGUGAGAUUCAUGGCUGGGGUG